CGCUCAUUGUCAUAACAUGAAUUGUUCAACCAUUGGCACAAUUCUAACAAACCAGGUCAAGAUCAUGGAACAUGUGAAGUCUGCUGUACCAAUGAAGUCAAUAAUAAAAUGCCAGUCAUUGGACUUUAUCCCCAUUUUAAGGUGUGGAAUGCUUUGCUAAGGGGGCUUCAAGGGCAGGAUCUCCUAACCAAGGCCACCUCCUCACACCAGAUCUUGGCUCAUAAAC
rnacentral:lncRNA from 1 species